CUCGCCAUUCUGAUCAUCCUGCACCGCUCGCCCACCCCCAACAGCGUCCCCUCGGCGGCAUCGCUCGUCGCCGCGUCCGGCAUCGCCGGUCUCUUCGAGACUUUCCACCAGAA